rnacentral:rRNA from 1 species
GGCGAACGCUGGCGGCGUGCUUAACACAUGCAAGUCGAACGGAAAGGCCCUGCUUGCAGGGUGCUCGAGUGGCGAACGGGUGAGUAACACGUGGGUGAUCUGCCCCUUAUUUUGGGAUAAGCCUGGGAAACUGGGUCUAAUACUGGAUAGGACCAUGCUGUAGGUGGUGUGGUGGAAACAUUAGUUUCGGUAAGGGAUGAGCUCGCGGCCUAUCAGCUUGUUGGUGGGGUAAUGGCCUACCAAGGCGUCGACGGGUAGCCGGCCUGAGAGGGUGGACGGCCACAUUGGGACUGAGAUACGGCCCAGACUCCUACGGGAGGCAGCAGUGGGGAAUAUUGCACAAUGGGCGCAAGCCUGAUGCAGCGACGCCGCGUGGGGGAUGACGGCCUUCGGGUUGUAAACUCCUUUCAGCCAUGACGAAGCCCUUGUGGUGACGGUAGUGGUAGAAGAAGCACCGGCUAACUACGUG